AAGCAUCAACAAUUUAUUAGCACAACCAAUAGCCAGAGCUCCACCAGAACCCCCUUCUCCCAUAACAAUAGAAAUAAUUGGUACUUUCAAACCAAACAUACUCCUCAAGUUAUGAGCUAUGGCUUCUCCUUGACCUAGUUCCUCUGAUUUGAGAUCAGCAUAUGCCCCUGGUGUGUCAAUGAAAGUGAUGAUCGGGAAUCCGUGAUGAUCAGCAUAGUACAUCAUCCGCAGAGCCUUCCUAUAACCAUGGGGAGUAGGCAUCCCAAAGUUACGUUGUAUGUUCUCCUUUGUGUUUCGUCCUUUUUGAUGACCCAUAAACAUAUAGCUUCUACCAUUUAUUGUGCCAAGUCCAGUGACAAUGGCAGGAUCGUCAUACCCAGCUCGGUCACCAUGAAGCUCCACAAACUUCUCAGUAAUAUUAAAGAUAUGAUCAAGGAAAGUUGGCCUGUUAGGAUGCCUUGCAAUAUUCACUCUUUGUAUAGGAGUCAGAUGUGUGUAUAGAUCUUUUAGAGCCUGUUGGUAUUUGUUCUCAAGUGAGAUAAUUUGAUCACUGAAAUCCAACCCAGUUUCAUUUGCCAUCUUUUGAACAUCAAUGAUUUUUUUCUGCAGAUCCAUGAGAGGUUUCUCAAAAUCCAAAGUCACCGGUUUUGGCUUUUCUUUCAAUGGCUUGAAAGGUGAUAAGUGACUGAGGACUCCACCCUUGACAUUAAGGUCAGGAUCCUCUGGCCAGGGGUACUCGUGCUUCUUUACCUUUCUAACCUUUGCAGAGAUUGUAAAAUCUCUCUUCUUAGAACCCAAUUGUGCUCUCCCUAAGGUUUUCAAUGGCACACCACAAACACCAUUUCUUGAGCUACGAAGAAGGUCUGAAGCUGAAGUUUUAGAAGCCAAACUUCCACUGAAUGCCACGGGAGGAUGUGAAGUUGAAGCCAUUCUCCAGUUACGAGAAUGAGAGCUCCAGAUUCAAGCAGAAGAGAUCUGAGGAAUGGAUGAGAAGAGAAGAUUUAGUAGUAUUGUUCUAAGGAGAAAAGAGCAUCGAGAAGAUCGAAAAGAGGGCUUGGGUUUUUUCAACAAAUGAGAUAGAUAAAAGCUAUGUAGAAGAAGCUGUU
rnacentral:misc_RNA from 1 species